CCAGACUCCUACGGGAGGCAGCAGUGGGGAAUAUUGCACAAUGGGGGAAACCCUGAUGCAGCGACGUCGCGUGAGUGAUGAAGUAUUUCGGUAUGUAAAGCUCUAUCAGCAGGGAAGAAAAUGACGGUACCUGACUAAGAAGCCCCGGCUAACUACGUGCCAGCAGCCGCGGUAAUACGUAGGGGGCAAGCGUUAUCCGGAUUUACUGGGUGUAAAGGGAGCGUAGACGGCGGUGCAAGCCAGAUGUGAAAGCCCGGGGCUCAACCCCGGGACUGCAUUUGGAACUGUGCUGCUAGAGUGUCGGAGAGGCAGGCGGAAUUCCUAGUGUAGCGGUGAAAUGCGUAGAUAUUAGGAGGAACACCAGUGGCGAAGGCGGCUUGCUGGACUGUAAAUGACGCUGAGGCUCGAAAGCGUGGGGAGCAAACAGGAUUAGAUACCCCCGUAAC
rnacentral:rRNA from 1 species